UCCGUAGGUGGAUAGAUAAGUCAGAGGUGAAAUCCUGCAGCUCAACUGUAGAAUUGCCUUUGAUACUGUUUAUCUUGAGUCAUUAUGAAGUGGUUAGAAUGUGUAGUGUAGCGGUGAAAUGCAUAGAUAUUACACAGAAUACCGAUUGCGAAGGCAGAUCACUAAUAAUGUACUGACACUGAGGGACGAAAGCGUGGGGAGCGAACAGGAUUAGAUACCCUGGUAGUCC
rnacentral:rRNA from 1 species